rnacentral:rRNA from 1 species
ACUGGGAUAGCCUCGGGAAACCGAGGUUAAUACCGGAUACUCCAUAUUUGUCGCAUGGGCGAAUAUGGGAAAAGCUCCGGCGGCAAAGGAUGGGCCCCGCGGCCUGUUAGCUAGUUGUGGGGUAGUGGCUACCCAAGGCAAUGAUGGUAGCCGGGUUGAGAGACCGACCGGCCAGAUUGGGACUGAGACACGGCCCAGACUCCUACGGGAGGCAGCAGUGGGGAAUCUUGCACAAUGGGCGAAAGCCUGAUGCAGCGACGCCGCGUGCGGGAUGAAGGCCUUCGGGUUGUAAACCGCUUUCAGCAGGGACGAGGCCGCAAGGUGACGGUACCUGCAGAAGAAGCCCCGGCUAACUACGUGCCAGCAGCCGCGGUAAU